AGACGGGACCCGCACAAGCGGUGGAUGAUGUGGAUUAAUUCGAUGCAACGCGAAAACCUUACCUACCCUUGACAUGUCCGGAAUCCCGAAGAGAUUUGGGAGUGCUCGCAAGAGAGCCGGAACACAGGUGCUGCAUGGCUGUCGUCAGCUCGUGUCGUGAGAUGUUGGUUAAGUCCCGCAACGAGCGCAACCCUUGUCAUUAGUUGCCAUCAUUUGGUUGGGCACUCUAAUGAGACUGCCGGUGACAAACCGGAGGAAGGUGGGGAUGACGUCAAGUCCUCAUGGCCCUUAUGGUAGGGCUUCACACGUCAUACAAUGGUCGGUACAGAGGGUUGCCAACCCGCGAGGGGGAGCUAAUCCCACAAAGCCGAUCGUAGUCCGGAUCGCAGUCUGCAACUCGACUGCGUGAAGUCGGAAUCGCUAGUAAUCGUGGAUCAGCAUGUCACGGUGAAUACGUUCCCGGGUCUU
rnacentral:rRNA from 1 species